rnacentral:lncRNA from 1 species
CUUCCCCGCCUCUCUCCCCCAAAAGGAUUCGAAGCGGCAUUACCAACCUCUGAUAUGGAGACGUGUUUAUUAUUUUCACGGUUUCUGCAGGAAGCUCCCCGGAACUCGAAGGGGAAUUAUAUUCAGAGAGAACUGGGUCCCCAGCGUACGCGGUCUUCAAGCCUGGGGGCCAUUACUGAUCCAUCCUCACCCACGUCUCACGUCCCCAUCGUUCCAAAAGACAGAAGGCACUCCUCUUCCGAAGGUCCCCAGAUCUGAUCUCAACAGCCCAGAGAGGUUAAGUCAUCGACCCCAAGUCACACAGCACCACAGGCAAGAUGAAAAGUCAAGUCUGAUUCCCCGCUCAGUCCUCCAGCCCCUCCACCUACAGUGACUUCAGAUGCCUGGCUGCUCCCAGGGGGUCUCCUGGAAAGCUGUAGUCUAGAAACAUUACAGGCGUCCGAGACUAUGCCCCCCCGGGGAACUGUUCUGAAGCCUCAUUUCUCAAGUUAGUGACAGGGGUCUCCAGCUAAGACUCCCCAGGCAGGGGGACCAUCAUGAUGGCGACAGAAGAGCGAAGGGAUCCCUCCUGGGCGAUGUGACAUGGCCGUGGGUGAGGCGGCCGAGACCCAUCUUUGGACAAUGUACAGGAAUUAUAAAUGGGUAGCUGCAUGGACGGAUGGGUGGCUGACUGGAUGGAUGUGUGAGUAGAGGGGCAGAUGGACAGAUCAGUGAACGGCUGGUGAAUGAUGGACGGACGGAUGGGUGGGUGGGUGGACGGCUGAUGGAUGGAUGGAAGGAAGAAAGAGAUGGAAAGAAGAGACGGCGGAUGGAUGACAGAUGGGUGAGUGACUGGGUGGACGGAGAGAUGGGAAAGCAGAAAGGUUCUGUUUUCCAAAGUCCCAGCCACAUGGACUGUGUCCAAAGUUUUCCCAAAAGGCCUCAGUGGGUUUUCAGGAAGAUUCAAGUAUUUUCUGGUCCAUAAGACCCGGAAGCCAGUGAGCCAGCAAUCUGCCCCCAGGGGUCCUCGGCCGGGAGGGCACCUCCUCCCUCCCCUGCUAGGUCUCUGCCUGUGUCUCCAGAAGGGCCUUUUGUCCGCCUGAAAGGAGAAGUGGAGCCCCGCCAGGGGACGGAGGCUUCCUGGGUUUCUGCAGAUGCAAACCCCAGAAGACUAGACACACGAGGCCCGUGGGCCAGGCAGCCUGGGAAAGGGCUCCUGUCUGGGGGGGGCCUGUCUGUCCUGAGCACAAACACAGCUGCCCUGGAGUCAGGGUGUCCA